UCGCCUGUUUAACAAAAACAUGUCUUUGUGAAGAUUUACAAAGUCUGGCCUGCCCACUGAUUAAUUAAAGGGCCGCGGUAUUUCUGACCGUGCGAAGGUAGCAUAAUCAUUAGUCUUUUAAUUGAAGGCUUGUAUGAAAGGUCGAACGAGUGAUAAGCUGUCUCGAAAAAAAUGUUGAAUUUAACUUUAAAGUGAAAAGGCUUUAAUGCUCUAGAAAGACGAUAAGACCCUAUAAAUCUUUACAUUUAAUUUUGUAUCAGGCUAGUUUGUUAGUGAAAGAAGAGGUACAAGGAGAAGUGUUUUGUUGGGGC
rnacentral:rRNA from 1 species